rnacentral:rRNA from 1 species
UACGUAGGGGGCAAGCGUUGUCCGGAUUUAUUGGGCGUAAAGAGCUCGUAGGCGGUUAGUCACGUCGGAUGUGAAAACCCGGAGCUUAACUCCGGGCCUGCAUUCGAUACGGGCUGACUAGAGUGUUGUAGGGGAGACUGGAACUCCUGGUGUAGCGGUGAAAUGCGCAGAUAUCAGGAAGAACACCGGUGGCGAAGGCGGGUCUCUGGGCAACUACUGACGCUGAGGAGCGAAAGCGUGGGGAGCAAACAGG